rnacentral:rRNA from 1 species
GUACACACCGCCCGUCACACCAUGAGAGUUGGGAAUACCCGAAGCCUGUGAGCUAACCGUAAGGGGGCAGCAGUCGAAGGUAGAAUCAAUGAUUGGGGUGAAGUCGUAACAAGGUAUC